GGCGACCAGUGGUUGCUGGCAUUCCAGGGGGCAGUUCAUCACACAUACUAUGCACCACAAGUGAUGGUGAAAAAAGGGUGACAUAUACUGAUGGACGGAUUGUAUUAUUGGACUCUCCAGAAAGAACACAGUCUGUCACAGUUGAUGAAGAUGAUGAUGACGAUGAAGAGACCACAUCUGCUGUGACAGAAGUGGACAAUGCUGGUAGAUCCACUGAGUACAUACCUAGGGAUUUGCCCACUGAUAAGGGUCCUUCAGCCUCAGCACACAAUCUAAGCAGGGUAAGAACUUGUGUCCAUGUGUCCAUAUUUGAAUUUUAUUGUCUGACCAAACAAUCUCAUUUAUUACAUUUUUCCACCUUAGUUGCCAGCAAAGGAGCUGUAUAAGGUCCAUCUUCAAAAACAAAUAAGAAAAAGUGACAUGGAGAUGGACCUUAUACAGCUUCAAAUGGAACAGAAAAGGCUCCUCAUUAAAAAAGCAGCACUUGAAAUAGAAUUACUUGAGAAUCACCUUAAGGUGAGAACCUGUCUGAAUAUUAAUCUGUUGCAUGUUAAAAGUGGUCUGUCUGUCUGUCUGUGUCUGUCUCUAUCUAUCUAUCUAUCUAUCUAUCUAUCUAUCUAUCUAUCUAUCUAUCUAUCUAUCUAUCUAUCUAUCUAUCUAUCUGUAUGUAUGUAUGUAUGUGUAAAGCAAUAUAAAAAAAAAACAUUUUAAUGAAUUGUACUUUUUAAUUUUUUUUCAGGAAAUGAAGAAAUAAACUGCCUGGCAGACCAGUGCAAAAAAAAAUAAUAAAAGUAAUUUUGACAAAUCCUGUCUCUCAAAAGUCUUCCGUCUCUGUUGGCCUCUAAAAUCUGUCUGUGUUCCUCUGGGCCAUCUUCCUCAAUACAAGGAGGGUGGCUCUCUCCUCUUAUAGUGGCAAUAUUGUGAAGCACAACA